CUCCAGAAUGGUUCACUGCAUUCUGCUAUAUUGCCCCAGCAGUUGCAGAAGAAAGGUACAACUACAGGAUGUUAAUCUGCAUGUGCUGCAGAAGGACACCACCACUGCUUGUGCUUACUACAAAUAUGCCAGAACAACUGCAAACAGAGACAAUUGCCAUCAAACAGGGAUUUCUGAAACAUAUUACAGCUUGUCUCACAGACAUCUGGAGCCAGGGCUGGCACAGACUCUGCUAUUCAAAAGAAAAGUGAAAAAGACAGACAGCACUUCAAAAUAAAUCAAUUGCAUUUAUUAGCUCCUUUUGCUGAUGUUUUGGGGAAGGAAGGAAGGAAGAAAGAAAAGAGAGGAAGAGGUUUUCAGCAUUAAAGGUCUUAUUUUCUUUGCUAUUUAAAACUCAUAUAAGUUCUAGUCAGAUCAAUGGCAUUAUGCAUUUUCCAAUAAUUUGUCUGAGAUAAAACUAGAGCUAUAAAAGCUUCAGGAUUUACUAAGGACAUCUAUUUCCAUUCCAAGAGCUAAAUAAAACCAGAAAGAAAAAUAGAUCCAUUUAAGCCAAACAUACUUGGGUUUAUAGUUGAAUUUCCACACACUGAAACCAAGUACAGCUCUCAAAUUUGCCUUGAAGAAGUCCAGAAGUCAGAACAUUUGCCUGCACAGAUUUAGAAGUAUAAUUUAAAAGAGUUCACACAGUGCACUUUCAGAGCACAACUGAUAUUCAUGUUUUAGAAAAUGUACUGCAGUAGGUGCAAUAUGCUGGGAAGUGAGCCUUUUCCACCUAAUACCAAAAUCUAAAGGCUUUAUAACAUCUAUACAGAAUGGAGCAUCUGAGAGAACAAAUACAAAAUCUUCUAAUAAAAUUUACAUCUUUUUAGAUCAGAGGAAUGUGUCAGCAUGCUCAAAGCUUCAUAUGGAAGGCUGGAAUAUCACAUACUGUUUGUCAAAUCCAAAUGAAGUCUUCUAAUCACUCUAUUGGACAAAAUAAAUGAGAUAAGCUGCCAGAAUACUGGGGCUUUCUGAGCUAUCUGCAAUUCCAUUGUCUCAUUUCUCUAAAAAUAAUACUUGUCGGCACAAUUAAACACAGAAAUAGAACAGCCAGUUCAUUAGAUUCAGUUUUCCUUUACACUAACAUAAAUUGGGAGAGAUGAAGUGAAAUACACUGAGUUAAUUCCCAAUUUGUACUGAUGACAAUCAGAAUCUGGCUUAAAUAUGAUCAUCUGCUAGAAUACAUGAACUAUGAAUUUCAAAACAAAACAAAGUCUCUUCCUACAGAAGGCAACUGUGAAAACAGAUGUCUCUGCUGUAAGAAUGUUCAGUUUGAUGCUAUUAUAAGAAUUAUAAAAACCAAGAUCCACGGAAGCUUCCUUCCUGUUGGAAAAUAUAAUAUGGUUCACUUCACUAAAACAAACAAAGUCUGGCA